rnacentral:ncRNA from 218 species
CGUAGGUGAACCUGCGGAAGGAUCAUUA